CCUCUCUCUCUCUCUUCUCCAAUGCACUAACCUAACUGCUCUUUACGAUAUCAAGAGCUCCAUCUCUCUUCUGACAUCUCUUCUCUCUCAUCUUUCUUUUCUUACCAUCAUCAAAUGUUGACGAAUGAAUCAUUGGGCAUGAAUCAGCAGCAUAUUAAGGCGGUUCAUGUGCGUAUUAUCACUUGGCAUAUACUAUAUAUAUUAGAAACAUAUAUAACAGUAUUCUAG
rnacentral:lncRNA from 1 species